rnacentral:rRNA from 1 species
UACGUAGGGUGCGAGCGUUAAUCGGAAUUACUGGGCGUAAAGCGUGCGCAGGCGGUUGUGCAAGACCGAUGUGAAAUCCCCGGGCUCAACCUGGGAAUUGCAUUUGUGACUGCACGGCUAGAGUGUGUCAGAGGGGGGUAGAAUUCCACGUGUAGCAGUGAAAUGCGUAGAGAUGUGGAGGAAUACCGGUGGCGAAGGCAGCCCCCUGGGAUAACACUGACGCUCAUGCACGAAAGCGUGGGGAGCAAACAGG